rnacentral:sRNA from 1 species
GUAGGUUAUGGUGACAUGAGACCGGUUACAAUGUGGGGAAAGAUCGUAGGAUCAAUGUGUGCGAUUGCCGGCGUACUCACUAUUGCUCUACCGGUGCCCGUAAUUGUUUCAAAC